UGCUUGUCUCAAAGAUUAAGCCAUGCAUGUCCAAGCAUAAACCGAAUAUGGUAAAGCCGCGAAUGGCUCAUUACAACAGCCAUAGUUUAUUGGAUCUAGAGUCCUACUUGGAUACCUGUGGUAAUUCUAGAGCUAAUACACGCAAUCAAGCCUCAACCUUACGGGCGGGGCGCAUUUAUUAGAACAAAACCAAUUGGCUUCGGCCAUAGAUUGGUGAAUCUGAAUAACUACGCUGAUCGCACGGGCUUGUCCCGGCGACGUAUCCUUCAAGUGUCUGCCUUAUCAACUUUCGAUGGUAGUUUAUAUGACUACCAUGGUUGUAACGGGUAACGGAGAAUAAGGGUUCGACUCCGAGAGGGAGCCUGAGAAACGGCUACCACAUCCRAGGAAGGCAGCAGGCA
rnacentral:rRNA from 1 species